AGCUCCAAUAGCGUAUAUUAAAGUUGUUGCAGUUAAAAAGCUCGUAGUUGGAUUUCGGGGCGGCCCGGUCGGUCCGCCGCGAGGCGUGUACUGGUCGGGCGCCCUUCCUCUCGGAGGCCCCGGCUGCUCUUCGUUGCAGCGGUCGGGGAGUUCGGGACGUUUACUUUGAAAAAAUUAGAGUGUUCAAGGCAGGCUGCCGCCUGAAUACAUUAGCAUGGAAUAAUGGAAGAGGACCUCGGUCCUAUUUUGUUGGUUUCCAGGGCCGAAGUAAUGAUUAAGAGGAACAGUUGGGGGCAUUCGUAUUUAAUUGUCAGAGGUGAAAUUCUCGGAUUUAUGAAAGACGAACAACUGCGAAAGCAUUUGCCAAGGAUGUUUUCAUUAAUCAAGAACGAAAGUACGC
rnacentral:rRNA from 1 species